UCUACACCUAGGCGAUGUCCAUCUGUUUCAGCUCAUUCCAUCCAGUAAAUCGACGAUUUCCAUCUACCCAAGCCUCAAUCGAGCUUAUUACCGAGUUCUGUUUCAUAUUCUGAAGAAAGUCUGGUCGAUUUCCUCUUCGCGAGUAAGAUGUCACGAAAAGGAAAACAAAAGGUUGGCUCAAUUGAAGGUGGGGAGUAUGAUAAGGUUAGAUGAGAUGACAAAUCCACUACAGUCCUAGUUGAGUUGUGUUAUGAUUUAAUGCAAUCUGCUAAGAGGGUACCCGGUAGUCGGAUCCCUAAGAUAGAAUGGGAGGAUCUCAUUGUAAAAUUUAAUGCAAAGACCAAAUACAGCUGGCCAAAGGCAGCUUUGAAAAACAGAUGGGAUGCCCUUAGAAAGGAUUGGACAUUAUGGACGAAAAUGAUGGCUAAAGAUACCGGUAUUGAAUGCUGAGUUGGGUACAGUUGAUGCAUCAAAUGAGUGGUGGGAGGAAAGAAUUAAGGAGAACAAGGAGUAUGUGAAGUUUCACAAACAUGGAUUCAAGUUCAAAGAUGAACUUGAGUUUUGCUUUGCAGGUACUUAUGCUACUGGUUCGUAUCGAAUGGUACCUUCAAGUGGUGUGAAACAUUCAUCUUAUACAUCGGUGGGGUUUGAAAAACAGAACCAUGGGGAUUCAGAUGGCUUUGAUACAUGGUUUGAUGAUGAUCCCUAUGUGCCCGAGCCACCCUUGCAUGACCUGAACCUGGAUAACAGCCCAGUACGAGUUGUUGAUGAACAACAUGAUGAGUUUUUCUCUACAGCUAAUUCCCCACCUAGAGUUAAGUCAAUGACUCCAACACAUACAACUGCUAGCU